rnacentral:rRNA from 1 species
ACGGGAGGCAGCAGUGGGGAAUAUUGGGCAAUGGGCGAAAGCCUGACCCAGCAACGCCGCGUGAGGGAAGAAGGUUUUCGGAUUGUAAACCUCUGUCCUUGGUGACGAAGGAAGUGACGGUAGCCAAGGAGGAAGCCCCGGCUAACUACGUGCCAGCAGCCGCGGUAAUACGUAGGGGGCGAGCGUUGUCCGGAAUGACUGGGCGUAAAGGGCGCGUAGGUGGCUUUUUAAGUUAGAAGUGAAAGUCCUGUUUUUAAGAUGGGAAUUGCUUUUAAUACUGGAGAGCUUGAGUGCAGAAGAGGUAAGCGGAAUUCCCAGUGUAGCGGUGAAAUGCGUAGAGAUUGGGAAGAACACCAGUGGCGAAGGCGGCUUACUGGGCUGUAACUGACACUGAGGCGCGAAAGCGUGGGGAGCGAACAGGAUUAGAUACCCUGGUA